AUCCAGCCAUGCCGCGUGUGUGAAGAAGGUCUUCGGAUUGUAAAGCACUUUAAGUUGGGAGGAAGGGUUGUAGAUUAAUACUCUGCAAUUUUGACGUUACCGACAGAAUAAGCACCGGCUAACUCUGUGCCAGCAGCCGCGGUAAUACAGAGGGUGCAAGCGUUAAUCGGAAUUACUGGGCGUAAAGCGCGCGUAGGUGGUUUGUUAAGUUGGAUGUGAAAUCCCCGGGCUCAACCUGGGAACUGCAUCCAAAACUGGCAAGCUAGAGUAUGGUAGAGGGUGGUGGAAUUUCCUGUGUAGCGGUGAAAUGCGUAGAUAUAGGAAGGAACACCAGUGGCGAAGGCGACCACCUGGACUGAUACUGACACUGAGGUGCGAAAGCGUGGGGAGCAAACAGGAUUAGAUACCCUG
rnacentral:rRNA from 1 species